CAUGCAAGUCGAACGGAAAGGCCCCUUCGGGGGUACUCGAGUGGCGAACGGGUGAGUAACACGUGGGUAAUCUGCCCUGCACUUCGGGAUAAGCCUGGGAAACUGGGUCUAAUACCGGAUAGGACCAUCUAGCGCAUGCUUUAUGGUGGAAAGCUUUUGCGGUGUGGGAUGGGCCCGCGGCCUAUCAGCUUGUUGGUGGGGUGACGGCCUACCAAGGCGGCGACGGGUAGCCGGCCUGAGAGGGUGUCCGGCCACACUGGGACUGAGAUACGGCCCAGACUCCUACGGGAGGCAGCAGUGGGGAAUAUUGCACAAUGGGCGCAAGCCUGAUGCAGCGACGCCGCGUGGGGGAUGACGGCCUUCGGGUUGUAAACCUCUUUCAGUAGGGACGAAGCGUAAGUGACGGUACCUAUAGAAGAAGCACCGGCCAACUACGUGCCAGCAGCCGCGGUAAUACGUGGGGUGCGAGCGUUGUCCGGAAUUACUGGGCGUAAAGAGCUCGUAGGUGGUUUGUCGCGUUGUUCGUGAAAACUCACA
rnacentral:rRNA from 1 species